rnacentral:rRNA from 1 species
UCCGCUGACGACCGGCGCACGGGUGAGUAACGCGUAUGCAACCUACCUUUUACAGGGGUAUAGUCAAGAGAAAUUUUGAAUAACACCCCAUAUGAUCAUCAUUACACAUGUAAAGAUGAAGAAAACUCCGGUGGUAAAAGAUGGGCAUGCGUCCUAUUAGUUAGUUGGUGAGGUAAUGGCUCACCAAGACCGCGAUAGGUAGGGGUCCUGAGAGGGAGAUCCCCCACACUGGUACUGAGACACGGACCAGACUCCUACGGGAGGCAGCAGUGAGGAAUAUUGGACAAUGGAGGCAACUCUGAUCCAGCCAUGCCGCGUGCAGGAAGACUGCCCUAUGGGUUGUAAACUGCUUUUAUACAGGAAGAAACCUUGGUACGUGUACCAAGCUGACGGUACUGUAAGAAUAAGGAUCGGCUAACUCCGUGCCAGCAGCCGCGGUAAUACGGAGGAUCCAAGCGUUAUCCGGAAUCAUUGGGUUUAAAGGGUCCGCAGGCGGUCUUUUAAGUCAGAGGUGAAAUCCUAUCGCUCAACGAUA